GUGAAUUCUUGAAUCCUUGAGGCAACCUGGUCCAAGUCAUCUGAUGCUUUAAUCCCGUAACAGCAUCUUCCAAUUGAAAAACAAAUAUGCACUGACUUUCAACAGCAAGUCGAAGGCAGAAGAAAGCAUCUUUGAGAUCUAGGACUGUAAAGUGAGUUGCCCCACCAGGAAUUAGGGCAAGCAGAUUAUAGGGGUUGGGUACCACUG